GCCAAAUUGUGAGUCUGUGACCCAAGUGGGGGCAUCAGGGUGAUGGGAUAGAGUUAUGCCUAACAGGUUGAGUUGGUGGCUGCACUAUGCUGGUCCGGCCGCUCCAAGUUGUGAGUUGAGCUAUGUGACUUGAGCGAAAGCACGGGUCUUGUGGGUUUUAGACAGGAGGGUACCAGGGAGUGAUCACAAGCCCGCUUCACUUCCAAUCCACAACACUCAGUGAGCCUAGCCACUGAAACCAUCAUUUUU
rnacentral:SRP_RNA from 1 species